GUGAAGGCACGAGGGAGCAAUGCCACGACCAGGUGGCCAGGAGCCUUAAUUCCAGGUCUGGCAGAAGAGGCCAGAGUCAGGUGGGCAAGUUCUGUUACUAAUCUGAGCAAUACUUCUGACCCUAAACCCUAGCCAGAAAAGGCAGACCUCUGAAACAAAACAAAAAAGCACAUGGCACAUGAAGUCACAAACUGCUCCCCUUGAAAAUGUCUGCGGAGCACACAGGUGGGAAUUUUUUACUUUGAUCGUUGUCUUGAGAAAAUAUGGAAAAUGAAUAAUGAAAACGUCUAAAAUAUGUAUUUAAAUGUGCUUUUCUACUUUGCCGUGUUCGAACGUCUGCACAAGUGUCCUUGGAGGAAAACAAGGAAACAGCCUGGGAUUGAGGGCCAGACGAGCGGCCGACUUUGAUCCUUUGCGCAGUGACACAGAGUUCCAGGCUGGCCAAAUGGGGCGAAGCCCAGUGGAGCAGGUGUGUCUUAUGGUCUGAAAAAUACAGUGAAUGAAAUUGUGCCCACCACUCAGAGAUCACCACUGUUAACAGCUUACUAUAUCUCCUAGAAAAUCCACCUACCCCUCUGAUAUUUACCCGAUGCUCUGCUCCAAUGAGGUGAGUGGGAGAAGACUGCGAACAUGACACAGUCCUUGCACUCAAGGAGCUGGGUUGACAAUGUGGUGACUAAUGUAUGAAGAAGAGCAGCCACUGAGACCGGCCCCAGGGGCCCAAGGAAACAGCCGCCUUGUUCAUCGGAGUUCAAGGAAGCCUUCACCUGCAGAUCACAGUCAGCAGCUGGAUCUUGGCAGGGAAGCAGAUGUGCACUGAGGACGGAAGACUCAUCUCUUCUGUAAACUUAUUUAACUAAACAGAGCUUUUUGUGACAGUAUUUUCCCUGGAAAGACACGUUGCUUCAGCAAAAAUAUCAGUUGAGUUUUGACCAGCGGCGUCGUUUUGGACAGACAUUUUUACAGACUCUAGGACCUCAGAGACGCCACAACAAUCGUCUGAAGCACUUGCCAGCCAUGGCGGCAGCGAGCAUUUCUGCUCCACGCAAUGGCCUUUGAGAACCAGAGAGUGUGGAUUCCGAAUCCGACCAGACCCAUGACCUUUGCUGGUCAGUGGAAACCACAGUUACAUUCCUUGCCUCUGAAGAUGGUCUGCAUGAGUCCAAGUAAAGUUCUGAUUAAGAGGAUGAAAAUAAAACCAGUUUUUAAAAAUUAGUGGGAAGAGGGAAUAAUAAUAAAAUAAUUUUAAAAAUCUCAAACAGGUGUUAGAAAAAUAUA